UUAAGAUCUGAACUCAAGCCCAGCUCUCUUCUUUCUUUCUUUUUUUUUAGAUUUAUUUAUUUAUACAAGCACUGGGUAUAGUCAGAAGCACGAGAGGGUGAGAGAACUCACCAGAGCCGGAGCAGCGAGCAGAGCAGGCAGAAGGACCAAAGUACACUGCUGAGGGGAGCAGCGGGCGGCAGGAGAGGUCUGUCUGCAUGCCAUGUGGGGCCCUCCUCUGGUGGCCCAGGAGCAGGCAGGGAUCAAACCAGCACUGCAGAGGCUGCGGGCAGCUUCGCAACCCAGCGCUCAACCACUGAGUCACCGAGCGCUCAACCACUGAGUCCACACUUGUGUUUUUUAAAUCAGAAUGUCUCACCCCAUGCUCCCCACCCAGAAAACUUUUCCUCAUAUGAAUUACCUCUGCAUUCUGCCAGUAACUUUCACAUUAUACAUAGGAAUAUAAUAAAAAUGAACAUACGAUUCUGCCUGACAAACAUAAAACCAAAAAAAGUAUUUGGGGAUUGAAUUUAUUGAAUAAAUAAGAUUAACUGAAUGUUGAUGGAAGAACAGUUAAUAGGUUCUUGAAAAGUAUAUUUUUUAUAUAUAUGUAAAUAAAAGGUCUAUUUUCUUCUGCAUAAUAUUGAAAACAUAUUGAUCAAGGUAAUAUAUAAACAUAAUUAGGAAAUUUCUAGAAAAAUCUGAGUGUAGUACCAUUCAAAAUUCACAGUACUUGAGAUCACGGGGUCAUAUCUUUCUCAGUCUUAUAAAAAUAAAAUUCUUUGUCUAGUACAAAAAAAAUUGUGUACAUCAUUUUGGUAAGGUUUUAAAGAAGUCAUCACACAACAGUACAAAGCAACACAUUCUUAUUUCUGAAAUGCCACAUUAGAUACAUGAAAAAUAUCAAUAUUUAUAUACAAAGAAAAGUGAUAGAAUUUGUGAUUACUGAAUAGUCUAAGUCGUCAGACUCAUCCAGAUACUUCUUUUACGUCUGAGAGAAAUGGGUACUGUUACGGAGCAUCAGAUAAAAUCCAGCUGUACUUCAAUCCCAUUUCAAUCUAUCCUCACAGAAAAUAUUGACUCUUUUUUUUCCCUGCAGACAUGCAGCUGUCAACUAUCCAACCAUGGGUCUAGAUUUGCAUUACACUUUUAUUUCCUACCCGUUCCUUUUCAUCUAAAACACUUGUCCCAUGAUACAGCUUUCACUGUCUGAAUAUGAAGGCAGGAAGUGCGGUGUCAUCAAACCUGUUGGAUAAUGUUCAUGGGCACAACAAAUAAUAUUGGCUAAAUUUAAGGGGAUGUAUUUCUGUUUUUAGAAGUGGUAAAAUCACUACUUACCGCCAUGCAUUGUUAAUGUCAUAGUUAUCAUUCCAGUAAAAAUUUCAUUUCGUACCAAUAUGUAUGACAUUCUGCCCCCACCCCCAAGUAAAGUCUUUAACACAUCAAAAUACCCACAAAGUAUGUGCACUUGAUUGAAAAGUAGGUGAAGUUACAGAAGCUCCUAGGGAGAUACAUAGACUGGGAUUUCUGGAAAUCUUAAAGAUUUGUAAGCAAUAGCAAAAAGUAUAUAUAUUGUAAAGAUUAGUGAAGACCCACAAGAUUGUGGUGAUCAUUAAAUCCAAAUGCAACAGUUCAACAGAAUAAAAAAUUCUUUCUUAUGAAUUCUUUCUUAGAACAGUUCUCUUGAACCAUUUUUUUCCUGCUUGGUCUUAUAAGUAUACUAGCAACCUCUGGCUCACAGAUCAAUUAUCCUAGAUAAUAUCAUAGUAUAUUACAUCAAUUCUUUGGAUGUGGACUAAGAGGUCAUUGAGAAGGAACAUGAGCUUCUUACCAUGUCCAGAGGUAACAUCUGUCACAUUUGUUCACUUUGUAUUGGGAAGAACGAGUCACAUGAUCACUCAUAACUGCACAGGAACUGGGAAAGCUACUUUUGCAUCACUAAUUUCAGGCUAUAACUAUUAUGGAAUGAACAAGGAUUUAUAGGUAGCUUCUUGUCUUUAAUAUAAAUAUUGCUAUUAAAUUGUUCUGAACGUAAGAGGGUGUUUUUGUUGCAGGUUUUGUGGGUUUUUUUGGUCUGUUUAUAUUUUUGCCUGCUCAAUUUUCUGGCCAACUAGGUACAUAUAAAGCCCCAAAAUGCAAAUUAACUCAUAUUAGGAACAAUAGAAUGAAAUAAAUCUGCAAAAACAAGGUCAGUAUAUAGAGCUCAUCUCACUAAACAGGAAAGAAUUGAACUCAAUAUUCUAUAUCCAUGUAAAAAAAAUGCUUGAAUUAAGGUGAAUGCUUGAAUUAAUGCUUGAAUUAAUAAGGUGAACAGAUUUUUGACUUUGAGAUUCAUGUAACAUUCACAGUGAUGAUACCCUAAAAUGUCAUUUAUAUUUGACUGCAUUACAAAGACCCUUUAUAUUUUUAUGUACAAUGAAUAAUAUUCUCAAUUCUGAAUCUUAUAGGAACAUCCAGGGAAAAGAAAUAAUGCCCCAGGCAAACAUGCAUGAAAUUAAUUAGCAUCAUAGAGUAAAUGCCACAUUUGGACUUAUAUGGUGGCAGCCCUGUAUGAGUCACUGAAAUGGCUUUAAAAAGGAAAUGUUUGCUGAUAGCCCCUGACGUAUUCAUCUUUCUCUCACAGCAGAAAUACUCAGUGAGUACAAAGGAGACUUUUUUUAAAGAUUUAUUUAUUUAUUUAUACAGGCACUGGGUACAGUCAGAAGCACAGGAGGGUGAGAGAAUUCACCAGAGCCAGAGCGGGGAGGAGAACAGGCAGGCUGAGGAAGUACACUGCUGAGGGGAGCAGCGGGUGGCAGGAGAGGUCUGUGCAGUAUGUGGAACCCUCCCGGUGGCCGGGGAUCGAACCAGCACUGCGGAGGCUGCGGGCUGUGGGCUGUGGGCCCAACCGCUGCGCCACCAGGGGAGGCCCACAAAGGAGACUAUUUUACAAUAAUAUACACAUUCAUUUCACAAAGCAAAAGGAAAGUAAGAGGGCUCAUUUGCAUGUCUGGACCUGGGAUUUCUUGCAUAGCACUCUGGCAAUACACAAGAGUCUUGCCAGGUCCCCAUACCAAAAGCUUUCCCUAUGGUCCUUGUGCCCCAGAAAAUGGGUGAUCUUGGCUCUCUUUUCCUUAUAUGAUAAGUUUCUUCUUUUCUGGAUUUAUUGGACUGCUUUCUAUGGAAAUUUUCAUCUUUCUCCAAUUUCUCUCUCUCUAGUCUAUAGGUAGAGUGUACCAAUGAUGUUCCUGAUGCUGGUUUCAUGGAAAGUCUUGUAGAGUUAUCCUUUCAGAACGCUCAGGUAACCACACCAGAAUGAGGUCCAGAUUCCAGCACCUCUUAACAAGUUUCUGUCAUGGACCGUGCAUAUGUGGGGAUGGACCCAACUUACAUUUCUGGAGGACUGUAGUGCAAGGAGAGGAUGAAAUAACGCAUUCAGAAUAGAAAUAAAAUAUACGGGUCACAAAGAUUCUCCUACAGAGACAAGAGAGUUAAAAUGUUUUUCCCAGACAAACAAAAGCUGAAGAAUUGGUCCACUAACAAAUCUUCCCUGAAAGAAAUGUUUACAAGAGAUCCCCUGUAUAAUUUAAAGAGAAAAGAAAAAAAAGAAAAAAGCUGAGCAGGGAAAUAGAAUCAGAAAACUAAAGUGAAAGUGGCAGUAGACGAUCCUCUAUAGAGCUCACCAAUCCAAAGGCAGAGAGAGGCCAGCCACGGUUCAGGAAACAAAAGCCAAGAUUGCACAGUCCCCAGGAGACCCGUCUGAGCCCCCAAAAUAAACACAGGCUUCCAGCUCAAGGCUGAAUAUGACACCAAACCACAGAACAGACUCAGGGAUGUCAGAGUCUGGGCCAGAAUGUAUAGUACUGCACCAUGAUGUGCAACGAAAAACAUUCUAUGUGGAGCCGAGAGCCUUCAUUUUUCUCACAAUGUAUUUUGAAUAGCAGCUGCUUUGUAAUGUUUGCAAUAGGAUCCAUUUCCGGAUCUGCAGAUGGAACUCGUGCAGCAGAGGCUGCAGAUGGCUUCGCAGUGCUGUGCUUAACCCCUGCGCCAUCAGAGAGGCCCCAUGCCUUGCUUUUAUGUCAGCUUCAGGGUCUGGCUGCGACGGACACUGUCGGUGAAAGGCUGGGAGUCCCGAAGUGUGCAACAGACCCGCCUGUGCCUUCUGCCCCAGCCUGCCUGCCCCAGCCCACUGUGACCUACCUGCUCAUUACCUGGAGUUAUGUUGGGACAAGGCCUGGGGGUGGACUAAAGGUUUCAGGGAGUGACUGGCCAGGAGCCUGACUUGUACCCCCCAGAUGACCAGUCUAUAGGUAGAGUGUACCAAUGAUGUUCCUGAUGCUGGUUUUCAUGGAAAGUCUUGUAGAGUUAUCCUUUCAGAACGCUCAGGUAACUGCACCAGGAUGAAGUCCAGAUCCCAGCACCUCUUAACAAGUUUCUGUCAUGGACCGUGCAUAUGUGGGGAUGGACCCAGCUUACAUUUCUGGAGGACUGUGGUGGAAUGAGAGGAUGAAAUAAUGCAUUCAGAAUAGAGAUAAAAUAUACGGGUCACAAAUAUCCUAACCUGCAGGAUUCUCCUACAGAGACAAGAGAGUAGAAAUGUUCUUCCCAAACAAAAGCUGAAGAAGUGGAACACUAACAAAUCUUCCCUGAAAGAAAAGUUUAAAAGAGAUCCCUUGUAUAAUUUAAAGAGAAAAGAAAAAAAAGAAAAAAGAAAAAGCUGAGCAGGGAAGUAGAACCAGACAACUAAAGUCAAAGUGGCAGUAGAAGAUCCUCUAUAGAGCUCACCAAUCCAAAGGCAGAGAGAGGACAGCCAAGAUUGCACAGUCCCCAGGAGACCCGUCUGAGCCCCCAAAAUAAACACAGGCUCCUGGCUCAAGGCUGAAUAUUACACCAAACCCCGGAACAGACUCAGGGAUGUCAGAGUCUGGGCCAAAGUGUAUUGUGCUGCACCAUGAUGUGGAGCCGAGAGCCUUCAUUUUUCUCACAAUGUAUUUUGAAUAGCAGCUGCUUUGUAAUGUGUACAAUAGGAUCCAUUUCCAGAUCUGCAGGUAAAUGAUGUUUUAGUCGUGCUUUUAUUUAAUUUUUUUAAGAUUUAUUUAUUUUUAUACAAGAACCAGGGUACAGGCCAGAUGCACUGGAGGGUGAGAGGAUUCACUAGAGACAGAGUGGGGAACAGAACAGGUGGACUGUCUGCAAUCCACUGCUGAGGGGAGCAGCGGGGAGACAGGAGAGGUCUGUGGCAACCUGCGGGUCACCUUCCUGGCUGGGGAUGUGAUGUUGGCACCAGAUGAUGUGAUGAGUCCCUUCAUGGUUGCCAAAAUGUUGUAGGUUGUAGAGUGUGUGGGGGUCCCGGGGGUCACUCUGGGAAAGGUGCCCCCAGAGCUCCCAUUACAGCGGGACACAGCAAGUUCCCCAGCCACGUUUCUCCACAAGACAGAAACACUAGUUACAUUAAAGGGCAGAUUUAGGGCCUCCCCUGCUGGUGCAGUGGUUGAGUGCUGGGCUGAGGGGCUGCCCAUAGCCUCUGCAGCGCCUGUUCAUUCCCUGGCUGCUGGCGAGGGUCCCACAAAAAAACAAAACAAAAAACAGGGCAGGUUUAUGAGGGAAAGGGACAGGUUUCGCUGAAAGAGGCCUGCAUGGUUGCAGGCGGGCGGCCUUGACAGGUCACGGCAGGCAGGAGGCUGCUGCCCUGCGGAGGGAGAGAGUUGGUGAGAAGAGGCACCUGCGUAGUCACGGGUGGGCAGACGGACGGCUGCCCUGAGCCCGUGCAGAGACUGCCCUGAUACAGCCCUUUUCUCUUUGGGAGGGUCACUCUUCCAUGGAGUGGCUGCCUGUUGCUGAUGUCGGUAACAGGCAACACUAGAAAGGGACCAGAGAUUCCAGGGUGGGCCCAAUCUCCAUAUCCUUCCCCUCAGGCCUGUGCGCCACUCCCUAGAAUAUCGGAUCCUGCUUGGGUCUCUUGCCUUGUGACAAGGCACUGGCGCCUAAGGGUUCGACCCCCACCUCCUUGCGUGAGUCAGGUUUUAGUCACGUGAGGCCUCCCUUUCCAGUCUUUCCAUUCUUGCCCUCCAUCAGAUGGAACUCGUGCAGCAGAGGCUUCACAGUGCUGUGCUUAAUCCCUGCGCCAUCAGAGAGGCCCCACGCCUUGCUUUUAUGUCAGCUUCAGGGUCUGGCUGCGGCAGACACUGUUGGUGAAAGGCUGGGAGUCCUGGAGCUUGCAACAGACCUACCUGUGCCUUCUGCCCCAGCCCGCCUGCCCCAGCCCACUGUGACCUGCUCAUUAGCUGGAGUUAUGUUGGGACAAGGCCUGGGGGUAGACUAAAAGUUUCAGGGAGUGACUGGCCAGGAGCCUGACUUGUGCCCCCCAGAUGACCAGGUGAGCUCUUAGAAGUCUCCUGCUUCUCUACUCCCUGCUUGCUUCAAGUUGCAAAUGUGUCCCUGCUGGGGCCAUGGGUACUCUGUCGCCCAAUGGCUCAGGGCUCGGACUUUGGAAAAAGAUCACCUCUGGGCCUGUGGGAUAAAUAAAGAUGAAAAUUUUCCAUAACCUCUCACAAUCUAAAAAUCAAAAGGUAGAUGAUCCUAACUCUAAAUGCAAAUAAAGCGAGAUGUGUUAAGAAUUGUAUUUAAAACAGGGCCUCCCCUGGUGGCUUAGGCGGUUGAGCGCAGAGCUGUGAAGCUGUCUACAGCCUCUGCAGCGCCAGUUCGAUCCCGGCUGGCCAGAGAAGGUUCCACAUGGCACAGCAGACCUCUCGUGUCAUGCCCGCUGCUCCCCUCAGCAGUGCAUUUCAGUCAGUCAGUCUGCCUGUUCUGUUCCCCACUCUGUUGCUGGUGAAUCCUCUCACCCCCCACAUCUCUGGCCUGUACCCCAGUUCCUGUGUGCAUAAAUAAAUAAAUCUUAAAAGAUUAUUUAUGCACUCAAGAACUGGGUUGUAAGCCAGACAUGGUAGUUGUGUUUGAGAGGAUUCACCAGAGACAGAGUUGGGGGCAGAACAGACAAACUGACUGAAACACACUGCUGAGGGGAGCAGCAGGCAUGACACAAGAGGUCUGCU